GGAGAAAUAGCUCAGUGGUUAAGAGCACUGACUGCUUUUCCAGAGUACCUGGGUUCAAUUCCCUGUGCCCACA
rnacentral:tRNA from 1 species